rnacentral:rRNA from 1 species
UAGACAAAAGGGAAACAGCCCAGAUCAUAAAUUAAGGUCCCAAAUAGAUAUUUAGUGAAAAAAAGAAGGUCUUCUAUCUAAUACAACUACAAAGUAAGCUUGGAAGUAGCUAUCUUUUAAUGAUAGUGUAACAACUCAAUAGUCUAAAAUU